UGAGAAUAUAGAGCUGACAGUUAGUACCUUCUCCGUGACUGGUUUGGUAUCAUUGGCCCAAACAGUGUCCAAGCUAAAACUAUUUGUCCAUGAUGGAACUACCCCAGCCUUUGGCGGCUGUGGGAGAAACAGCUGUUUCAGUUUGACUUGCUAAAACCAUGAACUCCACUUUGCCAGAAGUGGGGUUUCCUGGUGAAUAGUUCCAGAUUUUGCCAGCUGGGAGUGAACACAUAUUUGGCCACCUGCUGGAGCACGAACGACCAAGAGGAGACCAGAUGAGUUUUCAGAGCAGUGCUCAGACACCCAGGACGCAUGUCAUCCUUUGCCUCGCGCUUUCUGCAAUGUUGCUGCUCACCUUCAUCUUCCUCUUAACCCUCGCCAUAAUUAUCUCCUCCUGACCGCCUUUUCUCCAUUUGUCAUCCACUCAGCUCUUUCUCUGAGCCGUCCCUCCCAUGGGACAUGGCUUUGUCUCUGGAGAGCUCCCCUUUGAAUCAUAUCCAGGUGGCUACCAUUAUUUCCCUUUUCUUCUGUCUCCUCCUCACCCCAGACUCAGCUAACACUUAGUCCCUUGAUCAGGAAAACCUGAGAAAAACCUCCCUCUUCUUAAAUGAAGUCACAAGAUUCUCUGCCAGAGCCAUCACACUCAGGGAAGAGACCCAAAAUAUAGCUGAGUGUGAUGUCAUUAAAACCGGAUGGGAAGACCAGAAAUCCCUUAAUCCCAUUGAGACCUAGUGAAGGAGCUUUAUUCAUGACUGUUGGGAUUGAUUAAGGAUAUGGGGGCAGGGAGGAGGAGAGGGAGAAAGAUGUUCUGAAUUGAAUUGCCCCUUAAUAUAGAAUGGAAUCCCCUAGAUUUUUUUCUCCAAUUAAAUGUGCAUUUCAUUCUA